rnacentral:misc_RNA from 1 species
UGUGGGUCUAGAUUGCAAAGGUUGGAAACGAAACUACUUGCCUCAUCCCGACGAUUAAGUUUACAAAACCAAUCUACUAGAGAGUUGUAUGUAUUCUGAUUGGGCUUACAUCCAUUCUUUAUCAUAUAUCGCACCACGUCGAUCGCCUCUAUGAACAUUGAAUCGGAUGCAUAGCUUGCAAUGAAGGUAUUAUAUGUAAUUACAUCAG